UCGUCAUCGUAGGGUUAGCCGGGACCUAAGACGAGUCCGAAAGGGGUAGUCGAUGGCAAAUUGGUUAAUAUUCCAAUGCCAACAAUUAAGCGCGAUGGGGGGACGCAUAGGGUUAAACGAGCUCACUGAUGGAAUAGUGGGUCGAAGGACGUAGGUUGUUAAGUAGGCAAAUCCGCUUAACAUUAGACCGAGAUCUGACAGGCUCUUUAAAAUCUUCGGAUGGCAAAGAGAAUCGUUGAUACCGUCGUGCCAAGAAAAGCCUCUAAGUUUAUUAAUUGUUGCCCGUACCGUAAACCGACACAGGUAGAUGAGAUGAGUAUUCUAAGGCGCGUGGAAGAACCCUGGUUAAGGAACUCUGCAAACUAGCACCGUAACUUCGGAAUAAGGUGUGCCCUCAUUGUGAUGGAAUUUACUUCCUGAGCAUAAUAGGGUUGCAACAAAGAGUCCCUCCCGACUGUUUAC
rnacentral:rRNA from 1 species